GGCUUAACACAUGCAAGUCGAGCGGAACGAUGAUAGCUUGCUAUCAGGCGUCGAGCGGCGGACGGGUGAGUAAUACUUAGGAAUCUACCUAGUAGUGGGGGAUAGCUCGGGGAAACUCGAAUUAAUACCGCAUACGUCCUACGGGAGAAAGCAGGGGAUCUUUGGACCUUGCGCUAUUAGAUGAGCCUAAGUCGGAUUAGCUAGAUGGUGGGGUAAAGGCCUACCAUGGCGACGAUCUGUAGCUGGUCUGAGAGGAUGAUCAGCCACACCGGGACUGAGACACGGCCCGGACUCCUACGGGAGGCAGCAGUGGGGAAUAUUGGACAAUGGGGGGAACCCUGAUCCAGCCAUGCCGCGUGUGUGAAGAAGGCCUUUUGGUUGUAAAGCACUUUAAGCAGUGAAGAAGACUCUUCGGUUAAUACCCGGGGACGAUGACAUUAGCUGCAGAAUAAGCACCGGCUAACUCUGUGCCAGCAGCCGCGGUAAUACAGAGGGUGCAAGCGUUAAUCGGAAUUACUGGGCGUAAAGCGAGCGUAGGUGGCUUGAUAAGUCAGAUGUGAAAUCCCCGGGCUUAACCUGGGAACUGCAUCUGAAACUGUUAGGCUAGAGUAGGUGAGAGGGAAGUAGAAUUUCAGGUGUAGCGGUGAAAUGCGUAGAGAUCUGAAGGAAUACCGAUGGCGAAGGCAGCUUCCUGGCAUCAUACUGACACUGAGGCUCGAAAGCGUGGGUAGCAAACAGGAUUAGAUACCCUGGUAGUCCACGCCGUAAACGAUGUCUACUAGUCGUUGGGUCCCUUGAGGACUUAGUGACGCAGCUAACGCAAUAAGUAGACCGCCUGGGGAGUACGGCCGCAAGGUUAAAACUCA
rnacentral:rRNA from 1 species